GAUGAACGCUGGCGGCGUGCCUAAUACAUGCAAGUCGAGCGAACAGACGAGGAGCUUGCUCCUCUGACGUUAGCGGCGGACGGGUGAGUAACACGUGGAUCACCUACCUAUAAGACUGGGAUCACUUCGGGAAACCGGAGCUAAUACCGGAUAAUAUAUUGAACCGCAUGGUUCAAUAGUGAAAGACGGUUUUGCUGUCACUUAUAGAUGGAUCCGCGCCGCAUUAGCUAGUUGGUAAGGUAACGGCUUACCAAGGCAACGAUGCGUAGCCGACCUGAGAGGGGGAUCGGCCACACUGGAACUGAGACACGGUCCAGACUCCUACGGGAGGCAGCAGUAGGGAAUCUUCCGCAAUGGGCGAAAGCUUGACGGAGCAACGCCGCGUGAGUGAUGAAGGUCUUCGGAUCGUAAAACUCUGUUAUUAGGGAAGAACAAAUGUGUAAGUAACUAUGCACGUCUUGACGGUACCUAAUCAGAAAGCCACGGCUAACUACGUG
rnacentral:rRNA from 1 species